rnacentral:rRNA from 1 species
UACGGGGGGGGGCAAGCGUUGUUCGGAAUUACUGGGCGUAAAGGGCUCGUAGGCGGCCAACUAAGUCGGAUGUGAAAUCCCCAGGCUUAACCUGGGAACUGCAUCCGAUACUGGAUGGCUUGAAUCCGGGAGAGGGAUGCGGAAUUCCAGGUGUAGCGGUGAAACGCGUAGAUAUCUGGAGGAACACCGGUGGCGAAGGCGGCAUCCUGGACCGGCAUUGACGCUGAGGAGCGAAAGCCAGGGGGAGCAAAACGGGG